UCCUUUUGAAGCAAAGAUACUUUACUUGAAGAGCUAGGACAUUUUAACAAAAAUCCAGAAAUUGUAAAUCCCAAAAUACAUUUGGAUUAAGCACAUUUUCAUGUCAGAAAAUUUUAAAGAAAGCUUAUUCGAUACAUGUUUUUUUAAGGUUUUAGGAAAUCACUUUUGGACCUAAGCAGUAUAAUUAUAAACAGCAGGUGAAGACAAGAUUUUAGUAUAGCUGUCUUUGCUACAUGGCCUACAGGGGUCACUAGGAUGAAGCCUCAUAAUAAUAAAGUUUAUGCUAGAUUCCAGAGUCUGACCACAAUUUUCUGCUUUCUUAAGAGUUUUCCUCCCAGGGAAUUAAGAUUUGCUCUUCUAUGGAUAAGUGUAUGUGCCAGAACACUGGGGAAAUGCUUUACAAACACAUAGAUUCUUCUCAGGCUACUUGGAGUAAAACAUCAAGAUCUACAUGCAAAUAGAAGGCAGCAUGUGCACCCCAGAUAUUUUCCUUUGUUGUAAAAUUUCAGAGCUGGUGUCCUUAAACACCAUCUGUUCCAUUUCCUUUUUAUUACAGAUGAGGAAACAGGAGAGGGCAAAUGCUCAAAGUCACCAAGAAGGUUAGAGGCAGCACUCAGAUUAAAAUCUGUUUUUUGAAUCUGAGUGUGUUUUUCUCAGUGUAGCAGGUUAUUAAACAGGAAAAGGACUGUGGCGAUGGAGCCCUCUCCUCGUUCAGCUCCUGCAUUUUGCGGAUGAGAAAUCUGAGAUCUUACUCAAAGGUUCCCAGUCAGUAAAAGACUAGAAUUUAGAACUUCAGAUUCUUGGUCUAGUUUCUUUUCCACUUUAAAACACCACCCUCUCUUAAGUGUCAAAUAAGCCUGAGAUAUUUCUAUUCCUGAAGAAAUUAUUGUAUAAAAAGGAAAUAAUUCUGAAUUAAUCUAAAAUGAUGAAUAAGCUUAUGAUUAAAAACAUUCCAUUUACUUAUCUAACAUAUAAGGAAGUAUUAAUAUCCUUUAGAAUCUUACAUUGUCUUAUUAGUUUACUGAUAUAAACCUCAAACUCUCCUGUGUAUAAUGGGAAAACAAAGCCUAUCUAAUACUAUAAAUAUAGCCAACAAAAAAGUGAACUAGCCAUUGGUGAAAGGAAAACUUUUCUCUCAAGAAUUUACUUUUUGGAGUUGGAUUUUAUAAACACAGUUUUGUUUGUUUGUUUUUAAAUCGCUGUUGAUGCUUUAACUGGGAAAUGCCCCAAUGGUCCCUCCAUUCUGGGCCCCUUCCCUCUUCUCCCCGCUCCCCCCCGCCUUUUUUUUUUUACUUUGGUGUAUGAGCUUGGUAUGCGCCCAAGACACAGCAGAACCAGCUAAUCCUGGGUAAUCGGUCUCAACUUGAUGGAGCUCUGUUUGCAAGAAGGUCCUGAGGCCAAGACAAAGAAGACACAAAGACUCUUUUGGAGGAAAUUUUGGCUGUGUGUGUGGAAUGUAGAACCUAUGCUGGUUCUGGCUCUAAGCAAAACAUGUGAGGCAGAUGGAAGCUUUUGUUGUCUCUAGUGGUUCCUUUUCCUAUUCCCUCCCCCUCCUGUUUUCCUCUCAGAGUCAUACACCAUGUGACUAGAGCAGACAGAAAUACAGUGAUUUCUGCAGGGGAGGAAGGAGCAAAUUGGUAUGGAGAGCCAAGAGAGCCAAGCUGGUAUUGACAAGGGUUAGAAUAUUAUGUUUAGGACUGGAGGGGACUCAGUGGGUGGGGAGCUCCAAGUCCAAAUUAGGGGUUGGGAGUCACAAGUCAGAUUCCCAUUCAGGCAGAGGUGAACGACCAACAGUUUGCUAAUCAAAGAAUUAAGAGACUGCCACCAUAGGACAACAAGUUUCUCUAGGCAGGUCUGGGUGAAAGACCUCCCGAAGAAGAGUUCCUGGAAAGCAGAGUCUACCCUGGAGGAGGUGGAAGGCACAAAAGCUGAUGUUCCUCAUUGCUGACCGGGAUUUAGAGAUAGGCUUCUUCCUUCAGGAGGGGACCCAGGUGCCUGUAACUCUGGCCAAGGAGACAAGCAGCCAGGCUGCACGGAGACGUGUAGAAUCAAAGUGCCCUUAGAGUGAAGAGGGGAAGGAGAUUUGGUGGAAGUAGGGAGGAGGGGCUCAUGAUCUUAAGGAACAGACCGACGGGCAAACAACAUUUUCCUCCACCCAUUGCCAAAGAUGAGAGCAGAGAUACGUACAAGGUGCUGUGUGGGCAGAGAGGCAGUUCUCAGAGCCAGAGCGACUCAUGAGAAGAUGCCUGCCUAGACAUCCAGGAACUGAGCAAGCAGAAGAUCAAGGGUUAAAAAUCAAUUUUGUACCUUUUGCAUAUUCUCAGUAAGUUCAUUCUGAUUUCCUUUAGGCUAACCUUGUGGCUUUUUUUCAUUUCUAUAGAUUUAUAAGUAAAAAUUUUCUAAAAUCUUAAUUUGGCCUUUAACAUUCUAAAGAAUUAUUUACAGUCUUGAUGAUAGAUAGACACCAUUUUAGUGUUUUGGGUAACUAUUAUUACAAACCAAAGCUGCGAGGUACCCAGAGAGCCUGAGCAUGUAAGAAGUAUGUUAAGCCUGUUAUUUUAAGACUAGCAAUAGAAGUAGGACUCUACCUUUCCCAGUGCUCUGUCAUCCUCAUUGUAUGAUAUGGCUACAUAUUUUUGACUAUCAAAAGAAAGAGGACACUUCCUUAUGUAUGAAGAAAUAAAGGUUGAUAAAACUAAAAUCCAAAAAUAUCUUGACAAACUCAUGUUGUAGGCUGAUGCCUUAUGAGCUAUAACAGGAGUAACUAUAAAGUUGUCUAGUUACUACUUUUACUUACAGACUACAUUACUCUACAACCAUCCACCAUCCUAUAAACAAACAAAAAAAACAGGAAAAAAUUGCAUAUGGUCAGAAAGGGAUGAUGAGAUGCAAUUUGUAGCAGUCAUACAAAAAAAGACUUAAGACUUUCACCUGAGGUGGAUAUAGGGGGAUGCUAAUAAAAUUCCAAAAUGAAUAGGACCUUUGAAUUCCCUCUAGAAUGAGGGAAGCACUAGUUCUUCUUCCAGACCCAUCUUUCCAGGUGUUACUGUUUAAAAAGACCAUAGACAAACUAGUUAUAAACUCAUUCAUGUUACAGAUGUGUGAUUGCAGGAAUGGAAGAUGUUUGGCUUAUAGAAAGGAAAUAACUGCAUUUAAAUAUCAAUUAUAUUCUUCUGUAGAGUUCCAAGGUAAACUUCAAGGUAAGUAGGAGACAAAAAGAACACAAUUUUGCUUCACUGUAGAAAGAAAGAAAGAAAAAUAGUAAGUUACCUUGGGAGAUAAUGAGUUCCAUGGUCUGGGGAAAAAUCAACAUAGGAUAAAUGACCGUUGCUUGGGAACAUUGAAAGGUUAUAAAAAGUCUCAGCUAAGAUAAUAAUGACUAAUACCUAUAUAGCAUUUCCUGUUGUCCUUGCACAAUUCUAAGUGAUUUACAUGUAUUACCUCAUUUAAUUCUUUGAAGUACCUUACAAAGAAGGUGUUCUUUUACAGAUACAAAAACUGAGGCAUAAAGAGAGCUAACUAAUUUAUCCAAGGGCACAUAGCUA